AGUAAACCUUUAAAUCCCCCAUGAAUACCGACAAACAUUCAGGUUCCCACUUUACCGACAUAAAGAUUCUACCACACCGGCAAAAAUUUCGUCGUUUCUGUCACUGGUGAAAAAAAUCUGCGUUAUGUACGAAAAUGGCUGGUGUUUUUGGGAAUGAAGUGUGGAAAAAUUGGGAAAAGACCGGCAAACAAGAAUUCACAAAAGCUUGCGUCCAAUUGUUGAAAAAUGAUUCGCAGACGCCUAUUUUCGAUAAAAAUAACAAAACCACAAACAUUUCCUAUUACCUGAAUGCUCUAAUUGAAAAGGGCAUUAAGGGUGUCCUGAAAAAGGAACAUGUUAUAAGCACCUUACAAGAAUUAGUGUCAUUACACACUGACAUACCUUCAUUAAUUCUUGAUGUAUUAAACAUACAAGACUCUGUAACUUCAGUACAAGAUAAUGAGGAGUCAAAGGAGAGGACCAAUUUUUGUAUCAUUGUGAAGGAUUGUGAAAAAAUUGUGUCAGAAAAACUCCUUAAGGAAAGAUUAGAAAUUGAAACAUUGCAGGAAGUUGGUAUCCUGAAAAACAGAACAUUUUACUCCAGAUUUAUCAAAGUCAAAACAAAAUUAUAUUACAAGCAACGAAAAUUCAACUUGUUCAGAGAAGAAUGCGAGGGAUUCGCCAAAUUACAGACUGAAUUGAACAAGGAGUUCAACGAAUCGACGGAUCACAAUCAACUGCUUGACAUUGUACAGUCUCUUAUUGGUUGUUUCAACUUGGACCCGAACCGCGUAUUGGAUGUAAUUUUGGAGAGUUUCGAGAACAAACCGCAAGACAGCCGCCUCUUCAUCCCGUUAAUCCAAGCGUACAUGAAUGACUCGAAGAUAAUCAGCGAAGUGCUAUCCACAAAGUUCACAUUUUUAAAAAAUAAUGAACUGACGAUACCGCAAUCGUUGUACGUUUUAACUGCUCAACUUCUACAACAUAAAUUGAUCUCACUCGACGAAAUUUACACGUGGCUCACGCCGGACGACAAGACGAUGCAGAAGGAGCACGAAAAAAACUUAAAAGACGCCAAGGAAUACGUCCGCAAAUUGCAGAUCAUAUCCAUUAACCAAAAGGAAAAGGAAGAAAGUCCCGAGGAGGUGGAGAACGUGCAGGAAAAGUACUCAGCCAACCAAAAACUGGGGCUGAUCGAGGCCUGUUUGAUCGUCGGGGACUGGGAGAACGCCCACGUGCUGAUGAAACGUUUGCCCGAGUAUUACGCCGUCGGCUUCCAACCUAUAGCUGUCGCCAUUUGUGAACUACUCGGCCAUGUAGUCGAAAAACUGUACAGAGAGAAUUGCAAACUCGGUCCACGAAUCAACAGGAAACCGCCAAGGGAACACUCAAGUCCUCUGGCGCCUCCCAAAGCCGACUCGUACCUCGGACUCCGCACCCACGCCAUCCCCAUGCUGAUAGCACUCGGACCCGCGUUACGGUUCGACCCCGUGCUCCUCAGCAAAAUCGUGCGACUGUCCAAGGCUGCGUUACAAUCCUACGGCAUCGACGGCGGCAAAAACACCGCGCCACCCGUCGAAGACUCGCUCUACUACGACAUACUGACGAUAGUCGACGUGUCCAUUUUGCCCGCCCUCAGUUACUUGGACUGCAACUGUUGCAUCGCCGAGGAGAUCUGGACGUUGCUCAAAUUGUUCCCCUACCAAAUCCGCUACUGUUUGUACGGCCGGUGGAAGAACGAAACCUAUUCGAUCUAUCCUGACCUGCUGCGCAAGCGCGGUGACUCCGAAAAGCAGAUCAAGAACAUCAUGAAGCGCGUGAGCAAGGAAAACGUUAAACCGGUUGGACGUCUGAUCGGCAAACUGACGCAUUGUUCGCCCGGUUUUCUAUUCGACUACGUCCUGUUACAAAUACAAGUGUAUAAUAAUCUGAUAACACCGGUAGUUGAUUCGCUCAAGUACUUGACGAACUUGUCCUACGACGUUUUGGGCUUCUGUCUCAUCGAGUGCUUGGCCAAUGCGGACAAGAAACGAGUCAAGCACGACAGCACGUCCAUCUCCUCGUGGUUGCAAAGUUUGAGCAGUUUUUGCGGGGCCGUUUUCAAAAAAUACGUCAUUGAAUUGAGCGGUCUGCUUCAGUACGUCGCCAACCAAUUGAAAUCGCAAAAAAGUUUGGAUCUGUUAAUUCUAAAAGAAGUGGUGCAAAAAAUGGCAGGAGUAGAUGCACAAGAGGAUCUGACGAUAGAUCAACUAAAUGCCAUGGCGGGAGGUGAAUUGCUAAAAGCAGAGGCGGGCUACUUUAGCCAGGUGCGUAAUACGAAAAAAUCAUCUCUACGACUUAAAGAAGCGAUGUCCGAACAAGAUUUGGGUGUGGCUUUAUGUCUGUUGAUGGCCCAACAAAACUACUGCGUCGUAUACAAAGAAACGCAAAAAAGCCAUUUGAAACUGGUGGGCAAAUUGUCCGACCAAUGUCAAGAUACUUUGGUGCAAUUCGGGACGUUUUUGGGUUCGACUUUGUCGGUCGACGAAUACGUCAACAAAUUGCCUAGUAUCCAGAGCAUGUUGGUCGACUAUCACAUACCAUGUGAGGUCGCGUUUUUUUUGGCUCGGCCCAUGUUCAACCACGCCAUAAACCAAAAAUACGACCAACUUAGAAAGGCCGACCCUAAUUACAAAAAAAUGUCGGGCUCGCUUAAAAAUCAAAAGUACUACGAAGCUGUGCUGGAAGUUAUGGAGCCCGUACACAAGUCCCUCGUUCCCUUACAUCCGCAACGAAUUUGGGAGGACGUUAGUCCGCAAUUUUUAGCCACAUUUUGGAGUUUAACUAUGUAUGAUCUUUACGUGCCAGAAGACACUUACGCUCAGGUCAUUAACAAGUCCAAGCACGCAUCAGUUGCCGUCAUGGAGUCAAACAGUACAAAGGGGAAAAAAGAGCAGGAACGCUUCGCCACCUUGAUAGAAAAAUUGCAGGAUGAGAAGAAGAAACAAAGUGAACACGUAGAAAAGAUCAUGCACAGGCUGAAACAAGAAAAGGACAAUUGGUUCUUGUCCAAGGCGGUGAAGAGUGCAAAGAACGAAACUAUAACACGCUUCCUACAACUGUGCAUAUUCCCCCGUUGCACCUUCACCCAAAUCGACGCCAUUUACUGCGCCAAAUUCGUGCACACUAUCCACAUGCUCAAGACUCCCAACUUUUCCACCCUCCUGUGCUUCGAUAGGCUGUUUUGCGACGUGACGUAUUCGAUAACCUCGUGCACGGAGAACGAGGCGAUGCGCUACGGCCGUUUCCUGUACGCGAUGCUCGAGACGGUGAUGCGCUGGCACCGCUCCAAGGACGUGUUCGAGAAGGAGUGCGCCAACUUCCCCGGUUUCGUGAUGAAGUACCGCGUCAGCAACCAACACGCCGACAGUCUGGGCAACGUGGGCUACGAGAAUUACAGACACGUGUGCCACAAGUGGCACUACAAGCUCGCCAAGGCUAUGGUCACGUGUCUGGAGUCGAAAGACUACGUGCAAAUCAGGAACUCGCUGAUCAUAUUGAUCAAAAUCAUACCCUUCUUCCCCGUGCUUAUCAAGUUGAGCCAGUUCGUCGAGAAGAGGAUCGAGAAGGUGCGUGACGAGGAGAAGAACAACCGACAAGAUUUGUUCACGUUGAGCAGCAGUUAUUUGGGACAGCUCAAGCAGAGGAUGAGCAGCGGUCACAUGAUGAAGGAGGGUGAAUUCCACAUUCCGGUCGAAAAGGAAAAGCAAAUGAAAAACCACGAUUCGUCCAAGACGGAAUCAAUCAAUAAACACAACGGAGAAGUUAAAGUUUCAGAAGAAAAAGACAAGACAGAGAAGUCUGAGAAAAAGUCAAGGUCGUCGGAAGAGAUGAGUAAAAGUCAGAAAAGCCAGAAUAGCACAGAGAACAAAGAACGCAACGACAAAUCGUCGCACAAAGAGGAAUCACGCCAGGACUCCAAAGACAAGCACAACAGAAAGGAAGAGAAACGCGACGAGUUCGACAAAGACCAACAACGUGACAGCCACAAGCGGCGCGAACGUAAAGAAGAAAAAGCCGCCGCCAAGGACGACAGACAAUACAGAGAAGAAAGAUAUAUCGAAAUGGUGGGCGACAGGCAAGGCGAUCGGUACUACGACGAGCGUACCAACUACUUCAGGGAUGGUCGUGACGAUCGGGAGAUGGGAGCCGCCGGUGGCAACGGAAACGCGGCCAGGCACAGCCAGGAACCCGACGUCGAGAGAGAUGGGAAACUUCAAGCGUCAUUCAGUGCGAGGACGAAGAAAUUGGUCACUUUAGCACUGAAUGAAAAAGAAGAUGUAAAACGAAGAAAAAUGGAAAGUUCGUCAUCGAAGAGCUCGAAACACGAAGACCGUAAGUUGCAGCAGCUGGAUUACAGUUCCGAUAAGCCGGAUAAGAAGGAACGGUCAUCCAAACUAAAGGAGAAACGGGAAAAACUGAGCGACGAAGAGAAGGAGCUGAGGAAACAGGAACGGAAGCUCGGCAGGAAAAGAGAUCGGGCGGAGGAGGCGCAACAAAUGGCGGAGAUGAAACGGCGGAGGGACGAGGAUAAAGCUUUGUUCUACAGGGAAGAUUUUGUCGCAUCAAAACGGCGAAAUGCUGGAGCCUCCAAUUCACAGUACAAGAGAAAAGCACCACAGAUCAAGGGAAAUUUCUCCGUAUAACAGGGAACGGUCGCACGAAAGGGGCGACUCGAGGGAAACAAGGGACAGAGACAAACACAGACGGACAGCGGAGACGAAGAGGAGAUAACACGGAUAAAUCAUUUUUUAAACGAUCUACCUAUGACUUAGAUUGUCAAUCAUAAAUGUAUAUUUUGUAUGUGAACUCAUUAUGAAUAAAUUUAAGUUAAACUAGA